UCUGCAGUGGCCCCGUGGCAGCAAUGGCAGUGCCACUGCCAUUUGAGAGAGCCAGCCCUCCUCCCCCACAGACCAUACUCACAUCUGAGAGGUCCAGGAAGUGGUUCAGGAAGACAAAUGCCAUGUUCUCCCAGCUGACUGCCUGGUAUGGAGAGGAACCCUCAGUGAGACUGGGCAGCUCAUCCUCAUAGCCAUUUCUCCCAGAGCCAUAGCUAGGAAGGAUGUGUCUCUCUUUGUGCCACAGUCUCCAACCAGCUCAUCACCACAGACUGUCCCACAGAAUGGAGACAGGCAUUAUGACCAGGCUGGAUGGGGCUUGGAGCAGCCUGGGAUAGUGAAAGGUGUUCUUGCCCAUGGCAGGGGUUGGAACAAGAUGAACUUUAAGGUCCCUUCCCACCUAAACCAUUAUAUGAUUCUAUCAUUGCACAGCCAGGUCCAGGCAGCAAGGACAUGCUGCUGUCCUUGCCAUGUGUCACAGCUCCCAGGCAGACUGUCAGACACCUGGGUGAUGCAGAGCAGAGCUGAGCAGCCUGACAUCCACACUGACAGAGCCAUAACAUGGCCUCUGUCCACCUCUGGGUCUGUAGGUCCCAUCUGCUCACUGGCUGAGGUCUGGCCAGCUGCUUGAGGAACAGCCUCCAGGAAGAGUCCAGGAUUUGGGAAGAUAAAGCUGAGAAUCCCCGAGCCCAGGGUGUUCUGUGUCCUUCUCUGGUGCAGAGGUAGCUCUUACCUUGGCAGCCAUCCCAGCCUCAUAGAAAGCCUUGUCUGCAGGGAGCAGAUCCGUGUGGCGCAGCAGGGAAAUGGACAGCUGGGCAGCCAUGGUGUCCUGGGGGCACAGAGGACAGCAAAGACAACAAUUCAGCAAAGAAGGGAUCUCACGAGAUCACCCCAGACUCACAGCAAGGACUCUGUACCCACACAUGCCCUACAGCCUUCUCCAUCACAACUCUAGUACCACAUCCAUCCAGAGCUGUAGAACAAUUCCACAAUCCCACACGGAUCAAGACUUCAACAGGGAGGCCAAGAACAAAUCCCAGGGCACAUGAGACUCCAAAGGAGUCACAGGGCCUUGUGAUGCCCCCACAGAGGCCCACAAGCUCCCAAAGCCCCCAACAAGCCCAGCACACAGGACCAGUACCUGCUGAGGCCCUGGGCAGAUGAUCUGCUCUGAAGAGCACGUGUGAAGCCCAGCAACUCCUGGAACCCAGGAGAGCAGAGAAGAAGCCAUCCCUCUCUUGGGAAGAUCAGAUUUUUUGUCAUUCCUAAUUUUCUACUGGCACCUCCACCCUCACAAGUCAUGCCAAGCACAAGGAUCAGCUCCUGCCCUGGUUUACAGCUCAGCCACAGUGGCUGGGACAGUACCCACAGUAAAUAGAAAACACCACCUACAGCUCCACCUGCUAGUGGUGGGCUCCCACAUUACUGCAGUCCCGCUCUCAUGCAUCCAUGAUGGGUGAUUUGUGAAGUGGAAUAGUAACCUAUGAACAGCCCCAAACAUGCAGAUCCCCAUGGGUUCCCCACUCUGGGUGCUGCCCUGGCAGAGGAGCUGCAAAGCCUCACCAGCUGCUUCAGGCCCUGCGCGGCGGAGCGGGCGGCGCAGUAGUGGGAAAUCAGCAGCAUCCGCUCAAACUCCUCGUGUGCUGCAGUGUUUGCCUCGCUGGACUUCACCAAGUUUUCACACUGAGAAGAGAAAAUGAGAGGAACUGAGAGCAGGAGAGCAUGAGGGCACUCUUCAUCCACAUGAGACAGGAAAGUCAGGAGAGGGAAGGAUCUGAAAUACCCAGACACCUCUGGGACUGGACAAGGGCUGGGCCUUGGGUGCUCUGGGUCCGAAAGCAUGCUGACGAAGGAGGCUGUGGGAGCCAGGGAGAGUUACCAGUACUGCAGCAACAGCCAGCACUGGAAGCAGGGUGAGCCUGGAUGGACAAAGGGAGGAUUUUUUGAUUUUGCUUAUGCUCGCAGUAGGGACAGAAACAGAGAUAAGGCAAUCAUGGCUCUAGCUGAGGUGUUCUGGACAGGAAAGAGGAGCAGAAGGCUCUAAGCCUCCAUGGGAGAAUUUGUAUUUUCCAGGCUCAGUAGCUCUGUGCUUUCCCCAUGCAAGCUGCUGAAUGUGUGGUAGGAUGAGAAGAGGAUGUCACAACAGCUCCCAUGUUGCAGUGACACCUGGAGCUCUGCAAGGGCCAGUGUCCAGACCCACUCCCAGGAUUUGACCUGGAGCACAAGGUCUGCUUCUCUGCCUUCUCUUGUUCAGCCACAUCCACUUCUCAGGAUCCUGUUUCCCUACUGUCCACACUGCCAGCUCUCUACUCUUAGCUUGUGGUCUAAAAA